UAACGAGAUCGGAGGCAGAGCGAAGCAGAGUGAGGUAGGUUGAGGUAAAGAUAAAGUGAGGCACAGUGAGGUAGAAUGACAGAGACAGAGCAAGUAAGAAUGAGGUAAAGGGAGGUAGAGAAAGGAAGAACGUGGUGGAGUGAGGCAGAUUGAGGUAGAGUGUGGUAAAGUGAGGUAGAGUGGAGUAAUUUGAGGUAGAUUAGGGCUGAUUGUGGUAGUAAGGUACAGUAUGGUAACGUGGGGUAAACAGAGUAAUGUAGAGUGAGACAACAUGAGGCACAGUGAGGUAGAAUAGGGUAGACAGGGCAGGGAAGAGUGUGAUAAAGGGAGGUAGAGAAAGGUAGAGUUUGGUAGAGUGAGGUAUAGUGAAGUAGAGUGAGGAAGAGUGAGGUAAAGCAAGGUACAGUGCGUCAGAUUGUGGUAGGGAGGUAGAGGAAGGCAAAGUGGGAUAAACUGAGCAAGGUAGGGAGUGGUAAAAUUAAUUAGAGUGAGGCAGAGUGAGUUAAAGUGGGGUAAAGUGAGGUAGAGUACAGUAGAGUGAGGAAGAUUGUGGUAGUGAGGCAGAGUGAGGUAAAGUGGGGUAAAUAGAGCGAGGUAAAGAGAAUGGUAAAGUGAGGUAGAAGGAGGUAGAGUGAGAUAAAGUGAGGCAUAGUGAGGUAGAAUUCGGUGGACAGAGCAAGAAAGAGUGAGAUAAAGGGAAGUAGAGAUAGUUAGAGUGGUAGAGUGAGGCAGAGUGAAGUAGAGUGUGGUAAAGUGAGAUAGACUAAGGUAGGAUGAGGCAGAUUGUGGUAAUGAGGUAAAGUGUGGUAAAGUAGAGGUAGAAUGAGGUAAAAUGAGGCACAGUAGAAUGUAGGUAGAAAGUAGGUAGAAUGGGGUAGACAAAACAAGGAAUAGUGAGGCAGAGUGAGGUAGAGUAAAGAAGAGUGAGGUAGAGUAAGGUAAAGUGGGGUAAACAGAGUAAGGUAGAGUGUGGUAAAGUGAGGUAGCUUCAGAUAAAGUGAGAUACAGUAAGGUAGAAUGGGGUAGACAGAGCAAGGAAUAGUGAGGUAAAGGGAGGUAGAGAUGGAGUGGUAUAGUGGGGUGAAGUUUGGUAGAGUGAGGUAAAGUGGGGUAAACAGAGCAAGGUAGAGUGUGGUAAAGUGAGGUAGAGUGAGGCACAAUAAGGUAGAAUUGGGUAGACAGAGCAAGGAAAAGUGAGGUAAAGGGAUGUAGAGAUAGGUAGAGUGAGGCAGAGUGAGGCAGAGUGAGGCAAAGUGAGGUAGAGUUUGGUAGAGCGAGGCAUAUUGUGGUAGUAAGGUAGAGUGAGGAAAAGUGGGUUAGACAGAGUGACGUAGAAUGAGAUAAAAUGAGGCACAGUGAGGUAGAAUAGGGUAGACAAAGCAAGGAAUAGUGAGGUAAAGGGAGGUAGAGAUAGAUUGGUAGAGUGAGGCAGAGUGAGGUAGAGUGAAGCGGAUUGUGGUAGUGAGGUAAAUUGGAGUAAACAGAGUGAGGUAGCUUGAGCUAAAGUGAGGCACAGUGAGGUUGAAUGGGGUAGACAGAGCAAAGAAAAGUGAGGUAAAGAGAGGUAGAGAUUCCUAGAGUGAGGUAGAGUGAGGUAGAGUGGUGUAGGGUGAAGUAGAGUGAGGUAAAGUGAGGCAGAGUGAGGUAGAGUGGUGUAGGGUGAAGUAGAGUGAGGUAAAGUGAGGUAGAGUGAGGUAGAGUGGUGUAGGGUGAAGUAGAGUGAGGUAAAGUGAGGCAGAGUGAGGUAGAGUGGUGUAGGGUGAAGUAGAGUGAGGUAAAGUGAGGUAAAGUGAGGUAGAGUGAGGUAGAGUGGUGUAGGGUGAAGUAGAGUGAGGUAAAGUGAGGUAGAGUGAGGUAGAGUGGUGUAGGGUGAAGUAGAGUGAGGUAAAGUGAGGCAGAGUGAGGUAGAGUGGUGUAGGGUGAAGUAGAGUGAGGUAAAGUGAGGUAAAGUGAGGCAGAGUGAGGUAGAGUGGUGUAGGGUGAAGUAGAGUGAGGUAAAGUGAGGCAGAGUGAGGUAGAGUGGUGUAGGGUGAAGUAGAGUGAGGUAAAGUGAGGUAAAGUGAGGUAGAGUGAGGUAGAGUGGUGUAGGGUGAAGUAGAGUGAGGUAAAGUGAGGCAGAGUGAGGUAGAGUGGUGUAGGGUGAAGUAGAGUGAGGUAAAGUGAGGCAGAGUGAGGUAGAGUGGUGUAGGGUGAAGUAGAGUGAAGUAGAGUGAGGUAAAGUGGGGCAGAGUGAGGUAGAGUGGUGUAGGGUGAAGUAGAGUGAAGUAGAGUGAGGUAGAGUGGUGUAGGGUGAAGUAGAGUGAGGUAAAGUGAGGCAGAGUGAGGCAGAGUGAGGUAGAAUGGUGUAGGGUGAAGUAGAGUGAGGUAAAGUGAGGUAGAGUGAGGUAAAAUGA